rnacentral:rRNA from 1 species
AUACGAAGGGGGCAAGCGUUGUACGGAAUAACUGGGCGUAAAGCGCACGUAGGCGGAAUGUUAAGUUAGAGGUGAAAUCCCAGGGCUCAACCCUGGAACGGCCUUUAAUACUGGCAAUCUAGAGACCGAGAGAGGUGAGUGGAAUUCCGAGUGUAGAGGUGAAAUUCGUAGAUAUUCGGAGGAACACCAGUGGCGAAGGCGGCUCACUGGCUCGGUACUGACGCUGAGGUGCGAAAGCGUGGGGAGCAAACAGGAUUAGAAACCCUAGUAGUCC